CUUUGAGGUCUAAUUUGACCAUCCAGUCUCCCUGACGGAGCAGGUCCCUGAGACAAUGAGCGCCCUCCAUCUUGAAGUGAUGGUAACGUAGGAAAGAAUUGAGGUGUUUGAGGUUUAUCACCGGACGUACGCCUCCGCCCUUCUUGGCGACAAGAAACAGGUUGCUUAGAAAUCCCGGGUGUCCGUAGGGGAUUUCUUGAAUAGCCCGUUUGGCAGACAGUUCCGCGAUCUCUGCGGUAAUUAAUCCGGACAGCUCUGCUGGUAGUUUCAGUUCCUGUGGAAGAAACGUCUGGACAGGGGGAGACAAUAAAUCCAGGCGGAAACCCCUGACCGCACUGAGGACCCAAACAUCUGUGGUGAUCAUACCCCACACAUCGAGAAACAGUGCCAAUCUGCCCCCCACACUCGUUCUGCAAGAUACACGUAUUGGUGUACUCACCGUAAGGGCAUCUGUAUGAGGGUUGUCCACGACCUCCCCGACUCUGCCAUGGUCUCCCCCGUGAGGGAAAAAAGGGCGUUGGCUUAUAGUCUUGGUAGGUCCGGGGGGCGGAAAAGGAACCUCUGUGAGUCCUCGGGGGACCUCGAGCUCCACGGCCGGGCGGACGGCUCCUAUACCUCCCGGCCCCAUGGGAAACCUUAGGGCCGAACACCCUCUUCAGGUUAGACUGCGCCUUAUCUAGCGCGGUAAAGGUGCGAACAAAGGAGCCUAAGUCCUUAACAAAACAUUCUCCGAAGAGCAUACCUUUGGCCGAAGCACCAGGCUCCUUCACUGCCAGGUUAACUAACUUGGGCUCAAUUUUGAGCAGAAUCGCCUUGCGGCGUUCAGCCGACAUGGCUGUGUUCGCGUUGCCGAAAAGGCAAAUCAACCUCUGGACCCACCCAAUCGCUUCAUCAAAAAUCAAUAGGCUUCGUUCCAGCCUUAGCCGCUUCUAGAAGCUCGUAAAGCUUGGCGGCGGGGCCCAGGGUAUCCAAGAUCUUGUCUUGGCAAUUAUGCAGCGAAAAUUCCAGUCCUUUGCGGGGCUUCCAACCCGUCUUAGUUAAGAACUGAGAAAUCUGGGGGUCAACCUCUGGCGUCUUGCACGCCGAAUCAGGCACCGAAGGCCUUGGGCACUCGGACCUCAGUUUACUGCGCCCCUCCUUGGAAAGGGGGGUACGCAUACGAAGCGCCAGGUAAUUGGCAAUAUGCGCGGGCGGGUCCCAUUCCGCCGAGCGGGGAUGGCGAAGGUCACCGGGAUCGAACAGGGGGUAACCCUGAGGAUCACAGAU